GGAGACUGGCGGAAGGGGUGAGAAUAGAAAGAGGAGGUAUGGAAUUCACAAAGAGAUGUCAGGGUGGAAGGUGAGUAGGGAGAGGACGAAGAGUUUUAAAAUAGAAGAGAAAAAGGGAGGUGGAGGAAUGCAUGGGGUUGGACGGCCGAGCUCGACGUAUGGAGGGGGCAGAGAUCGACUGGAGCCAGACUGGGUGUAUGCAUCUGAGAGAGUCACUGUGGUGAUAUCAAUCCCUAUGGAAGUGAAUGGCAAUUGGAUUAAACUAUUGAUUUAGUCUGGAGCAGGUAGACAUACACCCAGUUGGCCAGACGAGGGGGAAGGGCCAUCCACAUUACUGCAGACAUCUUCAUCAAUAAUCCUCUUGCACCCAAAACUAAACCAACAGCAGUGACCGGCACAAUAAUGGCAUGUCAAGUGUUUGGCCCUGCUAUAAAAGAUCAACUUUUGCACAAAUAGGCACAUGCAGACUACCAUGUGAACUUUAUAGGCACGUCAUUAUGUGCUACUUCUGCUAACUUUUUUUCUUCAAAAGAAAUGUGUGGUCAGUGUCUUUGUGUGUUAUGACUUUUUUGUAUGUCAUGAUGUCAUUUUAUAUUUUAAGAGGACUUUUAUACUGUUGGAAAAGACUAGAUUCUUGUAAAAAC
ensembl:lncRNA